rnacentral:rRNA from 1 species
GUGGGGACAUUCCACGGUGUCCGUGUCGUAGCUAACGCAUUAAGUUCCCCGCCUGGGGAGUACGGCCGCAAGGCUAAAACUCAAAGGAAUUGACGGGGGCCCGCACAAGCGGCGGAGCAUGCGGAUUAAUUCGAUGCAACGCGAAGAACCUUACCAAGGCUUGACAUAUACGAGAACGCGCUGGAGACAGCGAACUCUUUGGACACUCGUAUACAGGUGGUGCAUGGUUGUCGUCAGCUCGUGUCGUGAGAUGUUGGGUUAAGUCCCGCAACGAGCGCAACCCUCGUCCUAUGUUGCCAGCACGUAAUGGUGGGAACUCAUGGGAUACUGCCGGGGUCAACUCGGAGGAAGGUGGGGAUGAGGUCAAAUCAUCAUGCCCCUUAUGUCUUGGGCUUCACGCAUGCUACAAUGGCCGGUACAAUGGGCUGCGAUACCGCAAGGUGGAGCGAAUCCCAAAAAGCCGGUCUCAGUUCGGAUUGGGGUCUGCAACUCGACCCCAUGAAGUCGGAGUCGCUAGUAAUCGUAGAUCAGCAACGCUACGGUGAAUACGUUCCCGGGCCUUGUACACACCGCC